rfam:Saitoella complicata NRRL Y-17804 DNA, contig: contig004, whole genome shotgun sequence.
GACCUGCUGGCCCAAUGGUUAAGGCGCUUGACUACGAAUCAAGAGAUUCCAGGUUCGAGUCCUGGGUGGGUCG